CCUCACGUUUAGCUAACUUGAUUAUAUCAAGAUCUUACUUCAUUGAUCACAAAAUGUAUCUCCUUUUUCAAGUAUUCAUUCCAGGGGCUCGAAAAUAUUUCCUAACUUCGUAUAGUUUAUGAAGAGCAAGGAUGCUAGUGACGGUACUGAGCAGGCACUCCUUGAUGAAUUGAAGGCUUUGGAAGAGCAUCUCAAGGAUCAUGGACCAUAUGCCAAUGGGCAGAAUGUUUGUUCAGUUGAUAUGAGCUUGGCUCCAAAAUGUACCAUCUCGAGGUGGCUCUUGGACACUUCAAGAAGUGGAUUGUGCCUGAAAGCUUGAGUCACGUGCGUAAUUACAUGAAGGAUUUCGUUGGAAAUAUGUCGUGUUUCUUGUUAUAUUCGAGGGAUGUUGUAGCUUCUAUCAUUGUAAUGAUGAAAAUUGUCUUAUUUAUUUGACACAUUGACCGUAAUGCAAAUGAUGAGAUUGUCCAGUAAUGAAUACGAAGGAUCACCACUAUAUUGAUUUGGCUAGUGGAGUAGGUAAUGAAAUUUUGUUUGAUUCUCCAGCAGAAAAGUAUGAGGAGAAAAAGAAAAA